rnacentral:tRNA from 1 species
GCGGACAUGGUAUAAAGGUUAUUACCUCAGCCUUCCAAGCUGAAGAUUCGGGUUCGAUUCCCGAUGUCCGCU